AUUCACUUUGAUGCAAAAAAGGAAAAAAUUAUGACACAUAUGAUAUAUAUAUAACAUCUAUAAGAAGUUAAGAUAUGCAUCAAAACAUUAGCUGCUAAAACUACAGUGUGGAAGAGUUUCUGAAGACUGUGCUUCUGCCAUAUUGCAGACUUCCUGGCACUUCUAAGGAUCUAGACAUUCAAUUUGUAUAAGGACACUCGAGGCUACACGCCCAGUAUUAGAGGAGAAGCAUCAAGCACUGGGAAAACUAAAGCUGCCCCAAGUGUAGAAACCUGGGCCUAAGAAUCCCCCUAGAGCUUCAGGACCUGGUAAGCUUUUUCCCAGGCCAGUAGAUGUUACUAUUUCAUUUGGACUGGCUUCAUCUUCUCCAGUGGAUCUUCAGUUAGCUGGGAACACACAGAUGACUGAAAAAGAACCCUCACACCUUUCAUCUUAAAGACAAACACUACUCUUCCUAAGAAC
rnacentral:lncRNA from 1 species